GGAAUCUUGCGCAAUGGGCGAAAGCCUGACGCAGCAACGCUGCGUGCGGGAAGAAGGCUUUCGGGCUGUAAACCGCUUUCAGCAGGAACGAAAGUGACGGUACCUGCAGAAGAAGGAGCGGCCAACUAUGUGCCAGCAGCCGCGGUGAUACAUAGGCUUCAAGCGUUGUCCGGAUUUAUUGGGCGUAAAGAGUUCGUAGGCGGUCGAGUAAGUCGGGUGUGAAAAUUCUGGGCUCAACCCAGAAACGCCACCCGAUACUGCUUAACUUGAGUUCGAUAGGGGAGUGGGGAAUUCCUAGUGUAGCGGUGAAAUGCGCAGAUACUAGGAGGAACACCGGUGGCGAAGGCGCCACUCUGGAUCGAUACUGACGCUGAGGAACGAAAGCAUGGGUAGCAAACAGGAUUAGAUACCCUGGUAGUCCAUGCCGUAAACGGUGGGCACUAGGUGUGGGAUUCUAUUAACGAAUUCCGCGCCGUCGCUAACGCAUUAAGUGCCCCGCCUGGGGAGUACGGUCGCAAGACUAAAACUCAAAUGAAUUGACGG
rnacentral:rRNA from 1 species